rnacentral:rRNA from 1 species
UAGAGUUUGAUCCUGGCUCAGGAUGAACGCUAGCGACAGGCUUAACACAUGCAAGUCGAGGGGCAGCGAGGGAGUGGCAACACUUCUGUCGGCGACCGGCGCACGGGUGAGUAACGCGUAUGCAACCUGCCCUUCACAGGGGGAUAACCGGGAGAAAUUCCGACUAAUACCGCAUACGUCCUCCGGGGGCAUCCCCUGGGGAUGAAAGAUUUAUCGGUGAAGGAUGGGCAUGCGUGAUAUUAGGUAGUUGGCGGGGCAACGGCCCACCAAGCCCACGAUAUCUAGGGGUUCUGAGAGGAAGGUCCCCCACAUUGGUACUGAGACACGGACCAAACUCCUACGGGAGGCAGCAGUGAGGAAUAUUGGUCAAUGGACGAGAGUCUGAACCAGCCAAGUCGCGUGAAGGAAGACGGAUCUAUGGUUUGUAAACUUCUUUAGUGCGGGAACAAAGCGGCGUCGUGACGCCGGAUGAGUGUACCGCAAGAAUAAGCAUCGGCUAACUCCGUGCCAGCAGCCGCGGUAAUACGGAGGAUGCGAGCGUUAUCCGGAUUUAUUGGGUUUAAAGGGAGCGCAGGCUGCGAGGCAAGUCAGCGGUCAAAUGUCGGGGCUCAACCCCGGCCUGCCGUUGAAACUGUCCUGCUAGAGUUCGAGUGAGGUAUGCGGAAUGCGUUGUGUAGCGGUGAAAUGCAUAGAUAUGACGCAGAACUCCGAUUGCGAAGGCAGCAUACCAACUCGCGACUGACGCUGAGGCUCGAAAGCGUGGGUAUCGAACAGGAUUAGAUACCCUGGUAGUCCACGCAGUAAACGAUGAAUACUAACUGUUCGGAGGGCGACCUCUGAGUGGUAAAGCGAAAGUGUUAAGUAUUCCACCUGGGGAGUACGCCGGCAACGGUGAAACUCAAAGGAAUU